rnacentral:rRNA from 1 species
ACACGGACCAAGGAGUGCAACAUGUGCGCGAGCCCUUUGGCAAGYAAACCAGAAGGCGUAAUGAAAGUGAAGGCACGGUCGCCGUGCUGAGGUGAGAGCCGGCCCCGGCGGGACGGCACAUCAUCGACCGAUCCCAUCCGCGCUGCUCGCAGUGCGGCGGGAUUCGAGUAAGAGUGUACCUGUUGCGACCCGAAAGAUGGUGAACUAUGCCUGAAUAGGGUGAAGCCAGAGGAAACUCUGGUGGAGGCCCGUAGCGAUUCUGACGUGCAAAUCGAUCGUCAAAUUUGGGUAUAGGGGCGAAAGACUAAUCGAACCAUCUAGUAGCUGGUUCCCUCCGAAGUUUCCCUCAGGAUAGCUGUAGCCCGAAGCAGUUUUAUCAGGUAAAGCGAAUGAUUAGAGGUAUCGGGGAAGAAACUUCCUCGACCUAUUCUCAAACUUUAAAUAGGUAAGAAGUCCGACUUGCUUAAUCUGAAGCCGGACACAGAAUGCUGGGUUACUAGUGGGCCAUUUUUGGUAAGCAGAACUGGCGAUGCGGGAUGAACCGAACGCAGAGUUAAGGUGCCAAAGUCGACGCUCAUCAGAUCCCACAAAAGGUGUUGGUUGAUAUAGACAGCAGGACGGUGGCCAUGGAAGUCGGAAUCCGCUAAGGAGUGUGUAACAACU